UUAAAUUAAGAAUUUUUGUUUUUCGUAAUUCGGUCUGGCCUCGCCGUUUCCUUAGCUGUAUGUAUGUACAUACCUUUCUCCUUCUCUCGUCUCCUGUAUCUUCUCGGCCCAAAUCCGACGCUACUCUUCGUCUCCCUCUCUCGCUCCCUCGCUCCCUCGCUCCUCUCAGUAGAAAUCUGGAAUUUCACGCCUUAAAUUUCCCAUCUUAGCUUGCAGGUAAACCGUCUCUCUAACUGCAACGCAUGAGUGAUGCAAUUGUCUAUCGUUUCAUCUUGUUUUGACUGUUCUACAUGGGUUAUUGAAUUCAAUUUUGAUUCGUCUUUCAAUUAGCGAAAUACUCGUUGUUCCUUUUCUCGGAUUCCGACUGGAUUUCGUGUCUGGCGUGAAUAAACUGCACUUUUGAGUUGUUCGUUUGACGAGCUGCUUGUUUUUUUUAGGUGAAUUUUAGGGUUCUGAUAUCAAUUCCGGUGAGAUGGUCUCUGG
rnacentral:lncRNA from 1 species